AGCCCGUGAUGACAGAUUAAACAACUUUUCUGACACCUCGUAUGAGUGCUGCCCUGCAGCUCCUGAUUCUAAAUCUGAUCUGAGGCUC
ensembl:snoRNA small nucleolar RNA SNORD60